rnacentral:rRNA from 1 species
AGAGCGAACGCUGGCGGCGUGCUUAACACAUGCAAGUCGAACGCGCAGCAUUCUGUAGCAAUACAGGGUGUGGGCGCGUGGCGAACGGGUGCGUAACACGUGGAUAACCUUCCUUGAGGUGGGAAUAACCCAGUGAAAAUUGGGCUAAUACCGCAUAACAUCGCGAUGGCACAUGCUGAUGCGAUCAAAGGAGCAAUUCGCUUAAGGAGGAGGUCGCGGCUGAUUAGCUAGUUGGCGGGGUAAUGGCCCACCAAGGCAAAGAUCGGUA